UGAUGGUGGUCAGUUAACAGCUGACAUGAACCCUGAUGGUGGUCAGUUAACAGCUGACAUGAACCCUGAUGGUGGUCAGUUAACAGCUGACAUGAACCCUGAUGGUGGUCAGUUAACAGCUGACAUGAACCCUGAUGGUGGUCAGUUAACAGCUGACAUGAACCCUGAUGGUGGUCAGUUAACAGCUGACAUGAACCCUGAUGGUGGUCAGUUAACAGCUGACAUGAACCCUGAUGGUGGUCAGUUAACAGCUGACAUGAACCCUGAUGGUGGUCAGUUAACAGCUGACAUGAACCCUGAUGGUGGUCAGUUAACAGCUGACAUGAACCCUGAUGGUGGUCAGUUAACAGCUGACAUGAACCCUGAUGGUGGUCAGUUAACAGCUGACAUG